rnacentral:rRNA from 1 species
UGGGGAAUAUUGCACAAUGGGGGAAACCCUGAUGCAGCGACGCCGCGUGAGCGAAGAAGUAUCUCGGUAUGUAAAGCUCUAUCAGCAGGGAAGAAAAUGACGGUACCUGACUAAGAAGCCCCGGCUAACUACGUGCCAGCAGCCGCGGUAAUACGUAGGGGGCAAGCGUUAUCCGGAUUUACUGGGUGUAAAGGGAGCGCAGGCGGCGCGGUAAGUCUGAUGUGAAAGCCCGGGGCUCAACCCCGGGACUGCAUUGGAAACUGUCGUGCUGGAGUGUCGGAGGGGCAAGUGGAAUUCCUAGUGUAGCGGUGAAAUGCGUAGAUAUUAGGAGGAACACCAGUGGCGAAGGCGGCUUGCUGGACGACAACUGACGCUGAGGCUCGAAAGCGUGGGGAGCAAACA